rnacentral:lncRNA from 1 species
GUCGGUUCCUCAGUUUAUUUUACGGUCGUAGAUAUUCUGAGCUAAUUCUUUUUGUCUUUGUUUUCCUUUUAUCUGCACUUUGUAUGUUGUUCAGAGGAGUUGCCCUGGAUGGCCCCUUCCAGCUCUGACUGCCAGGGAUCUAAGCAGGAGGGAGGAGAGGGGGCGUGGUCGAGGCGAGCGACAGAAGCAACCCUCCCCGGCCCUGGGCAGGGUUCGCCACCCCGUGCCCAACCUCCGUGGAACGCGGACAGCCACUUCGGACUCACGUCUCAAUGUUUCUUUAUUGUGCUAACACUGCUGCCUCAGAGCUCAGACCUCACACACAGAACAAUUCGUCCAGACAGACCCCCACCCACCCGGCCCCCGGGGCCCUCUGCUUAGGCUGGGGACACCAGGCCUCCGGCCUCAGCCGCUCUAGGACACUCAGCCUCCUCCUCCCUCCCUCUCCCCCAAGCCUUCGGUCCCGGGGGUGCGGAGAAGGCUCAGGAUCGCCUUCCUCCGCCCUCGCCCGCCCCUUCCCACUUUUGGGGAGGAGGCUCUGCCUCCCUACGCAUUUCCUUAGGGAAAUGCCUUCACCCCCAGCCGCCUGGCAGCCUGGGGCGAGCGAGGUCGUCCCCAGCCCCGACGUGUCCCCAGCUGCAGACAGAGAGCCCCGCGCCCUCCUCCUGGCUGGGGCGCAGCCCGGCCCGGCGCGCGCGCUCACACCAAGAGGCCGUUCUUGCACUGCACCGGCCCCUCGGCGCAGUCAGCCGGCUCCGCGCUCUUGACCUUGACGUAGACCGGGGAGGGGCCCGCUUCGCAGGCGGCGGCGGCGGUGCAGGGCGCCAGGGCCACGUCCUCGGGGCCGCCGCAGGGGGGAGGCGCGUACUUGCGGCGCAGGGAGCGGCUGACGUUCUGCGUCGGGUACCCCAGGAGGUGGGUGACGCGGCUGCCGCGCCCGCUGGCCUUGCACCCGGGCGCCACGGCGUCCUCUCUGUGGAAAACAACAGGCGGGCGGGUGAGCGGGCUGCUCCGCAGCGGGGCGUGGGCACGGCCUGGGCAGAGCCGGGGGCUCUUGGCAACCUCUUGUCUCCCGCGCCUCCCUCCACCUGCCCUCGUCUCUCUCCCUCGGCCUCGACCUACUGUCCUUUGUGACCCUUCCUGGGUCGGCGACCCUGCAGCGGUCCCGGAGCCAGCAUCCCCAUCCUCCAGACAGGGCUUGUCCACGCGUAUCUGGAGAGCCCUGCAGGCAGCCCCCUCCAGGCCCCUGCAAUCCCUUUCUGAUGUUUCGCAGGCCCAGAAGAAGGUGCUUUUCCUCUUCUUCUUUCCUUAGCUAAUCCUGACCUUGCUCGAGCAAUCUCUCUCUUUCUCACCUCCUGCCCCUCAGUCUUCUCCAUCUUUCCCUCCAUCCCCGAGGCAUUGCAAUCAUUAGCACUACUAGACUUGUUCUAUUUUUAUUUCUAGUUUGCUUCUAAUAUAAGUUAUUAGCACUAUUCUUAUUAUUAGCUCUUCUUAAAUAAUAAUGUCAGAGUUCUUACCGGCGCAGUACAGGGGAAACGUGAAAAAACAUAGGCCCUGCCCUCCAGGAGCUUACAGUCUAGACAAGACAGACAGGUGCGUAGGCAGGAGGGAAAUGGAAGGCAGGGAGCAGAGGUGAAGACUGGGGUGGCAGGGGGAGGGGAAAGCCAUGAGUUGGGUGGCAGGUCGACAUGCCGCAGUCCCAGCACUCCGUGGCGAUGGCGGGCAGGGUUGGGGUGGGGGGCCCAGCCGGCCGGUGGCAGGCAGGAGUGAGGUGGGCAGGGCGCCGGUUCCCUGCCGCACAGCAGCAUGCAGCAUGCAUCAGGUUUUACCUGAUCUCACUAGCCAAGUCGCCGCAGGCCCCUCCGCCGACCCCGCCGCCGUUGCCGUAGCCGAAGGCACCGCGGGCGCCGCCAGCCCCGGAGCCCCCGCAGCAGCAGCAGACGAGCCCCCAGAUGCCUACGGCCAGGCAGCCCAGCGCGAGCAGAGAGCCCAGGACGAUGCCGAUGAUCACGCCUAUACGCCGGGAGUCUGUGGAGAGAAGUGGAGGCAGGUCAGGCUUUCUCACAGCCUGGUCCAGGCCAAGAGAACAACAGCUCAUUCCUGAGAUAAGGAUCCUGCUGCCAUCUGCCAGAUCCUGAGGCUGCUCAAGGCAAGCCAGGGAUGAGCCAGAACUCGGCUGAGAGCAGAGGCUCCACCCUGGAGAAGCACCGCUGGAAGCACCCACACAGGAAGGACUCUCUCCAUGCCAUAGGAGCCUGCCAGGCAGGAUGGACUAAGGAAGUACUACAGGGAAUGUGAGAGGAGAGGCUGGAGAGAGGGAAGAAAGGCAAAGUGGAAGAGAGAGCUGGAUGGGAGACUUGAGGAGAGACAGGAAUGGAGGAAUCACAUGGGCUCUCCAAGGAAGAGGACAGUGGUGAUUCUUUGCCCCCCAAAAGCACCAGAAACUGGCCAUGCUUUACGGGGUGUCAUCUCAAUAGUGGUGCCUACUCUCUGCUUGCAAAUUCUUUCUGAAUCUUCAAGGUGCUUCCAGAACUCCUGAUCUUCCCUCUGGAGGUAAGGGAGGGGAGAAAAGGCGGCUCCAGCUGAGGGUAUUGAUGCGUUAAUGCAGCCAGUGCUGAGUUGUCCUCACACACCCAUUGACACACCACACAGGGGGAAGUCCGGGUCCCCACAGCACAGCUGGAGCCUCCCGAGUGGACUCUGCCAGCCCUGCUCUCAUCAGACAGAGAAGGGCUGCAGCUAUCCUGCCGGAAAUGUCAUCAUUCCCAUGCAGGUGCACGCACCCACACACUCACAUACACAUUCACGCUCACACAAAGGCUGAAAAUGUCACCCCGCCUUCCCAAAUUCCUCCUUCAUGCCCCUUCAUCCCAAAUCCAGACUGCAAGAGGGACUCGGAGCCCUUUCCAGUGAUGUUGGCAUAGAAUGCCCCUUGGUGGAACUUGCCCCAACCUGGGCAGGAAGCCACAAUGUCCAAACUUGAGCCCUGCCCUGUGGACCUGUCCUGGUGGGGUGAGAAGUCUCUGGAGUUGCCAUCCCCACCACCCUCAGGCCUCAUCCUAGAGUGGGGCACUGCCCUGUCAUAGCACAGGGGGCCCAAGGCUGAGGUCUCAGGCCUGAGCUGUCACUGGCCAUGAUGGAAGAAACCACUCAGACUUACACCAGACUUAGUCUCUUGCCCUUUCAAGGCAAGUGACUUCCCUGCCCCUUGGCCCUGGCCUUGGGAGAGAAGGAGUAGCGUUGGGAAUAGCACACAGUCUGAUGAAAAUUGAUCCUUCCCAAGCUCCUCCUGAGCCCUCACCCAAUGCCCGUGCUUACCCCUCUCCUACCCCACCUCCAGCUCCUGCAGAGCAAUCAAUCCCUCUCCUCCUAGUCACGGCAUGAGCUUGCAGGGCACCUGCACACAUGUGUGAGCCCGACAGGGGACAUAUAAAGAUCCACUCAAAGACCUCUGCACUACAGACACACACCCUGAACAUCAGGCACAGGGUCUCCUGGGGAAAGGUCCCCUGGUAAUACCCACACCCGGCUGCAGCAGGGCAAGGGUGGGCAGCACCCUGCCAGGCAACUCAGGCAGCCCCAGGCUCCACUGUGAGCCCUUGCUGCCCCUUUCCUUCCCACCUAGCCUCAUGCUGGCUACCCUGCCCCCUGCCCAGCCCCGUACCUGGGCUCAGGCACACGAGUAGAAGGUGGAAUGCUCCUCCAACUCUCAUGUCUCUAGGCUCGGUGUUUCCUCCGUCUGGGCUGGGUAUCCCGUGGGGUCGUAGUGGUGGGUGUGAGGGGGUAGGUGGAGGGAGGGGGAGCUGAGGGCCCAGACACUGCCUGGGGUGGCAGGAAGGUGCAAUGAGUGCCCAGCUGGGGAGCAGCUGGAGUUAUUUCUAUGGGAGGGAGGGGGCCUGGUCCCCGCCUUGGGGAGGAGUCCCAGGAACCCUAAUUAGCAGGGUGACAGGGUGGCCUACCUGGGCAUUACCCAGCCCUCACCCAAGCUCUUCCCUGUCCUAAGAGUGGCACAGGACAGCCAGCGGGACUUGUAAUUAGGCACCUGUUAAACUUCACUUCCUCCUGGCCACAUCCUCAGGGUGACAACAGUCACCUCAUUUACAGCUUCCAAGGGCUCCCCUCACCACUCAUUUGCUGCCUCCUUCCCUGGGGGAAGUGGGGAAGAGGAAGGAGAAGCCAGGCUUGGGAGAAAGAGUGGCCAGGACCUGAAGAGUUAAUCCUGAUCCCAGGGCAUAGGGUUCCCCAGGAGUGUCCAGCCCACCUUCCCCCAGGCUUCAGGCCUUUCAAAGGGACUCAGGCCUCCUGAGCUGAAAGAGGAGAGAAGGGGUGUGUGCAGGAACAGAGUCUCCUCCUGGCUGUCCCCUCUGGAACUGUCCUCCACACCCAUACUCGACUCAAGGCCAUCCCCAAGUGUAGGGGACCCCUGGGAGCAGGGGUGCUAUGGGGGGUCCAGGGUGUGUGCUAGGAGUAAGGUGACUGAUGGGCUAGUGAGGGAGUGUUGGAGAGAACAGCGCCAAGAGGACCAGGGAAGGGGGUGCCUGUGUAAGCGUGUGCACCCCUCAGCAAUGUCUGUGGGAGGGAGGCAGGAUGUCUGUGUCAGGGUGUCUCUGUGAGGAUGGCUAAGCCCCUCUGAGUGAACUUCUUGAGGGAUCGCUUGGUGUCCUGGCUUCUCUGCCCAGAAAGAGUAGCCAGGUCUUGAGGGUUAAUGCAGUCCCAGUAUUAACUGGGUCCUUGAGACCAAGGACCCUCAUAACCUGGACUGGUCAUCGGGCUGACUAAACCAGCACAGUUCUGGGUAAGUUCGUGCUGGGGUGGGGAGGGUCCUGGUAGGCAUGGGGAGCAAGUGAAGGGCCACCCCUUGUUGGCUUGUCUAAGGGGGACAGAAUGGGCAUGUGCCUUGUUGGACUCCAUGGUGGGAGUCAGGACAUGAGUGACCCCAUUCAAUAGCUCAACUCCCUCAAAGGAGUCAGGGACUGCCCCCAUCCCUACCAUGGGGCACAGAAAGGGCAGAGGAGGAAGAGUGUUAGGGAGAGUUAUGGGGCUCAGGGAUGCUGCCAGGGCCCACCCCUCUGGGGAAAAAUAAGUCAGAACAUUAAGGAAACACAAGGAGUCCACGCGUCUCUGCAUUCCAAGCCGUUGCACCUGAACUCCCAACAAUAACAGGGCGCUCUGAGACCUACCAGAUGUACACAAUGAAUAUCUUUAUUUCCUUAUUUAUUUUUAGGUUUAUGGGAUUGUCCUGCUCCCUUUGAAGAGCAGGGAUCAUUAUCCCCAUUUUACAGAUGGGGAAACAGAGACCUGGAGAAACAUGGGGAUUCAGCCAAUGCGGCUGGUGCCUAAGCUGGGAUACCCAGGUACCCAGGGUGUCAGUCCAGAGAGGUCCAAAAAAUGGUCUUGGUGAUCCUGUGGAUUACUAGACCCACUCACGAACAAGAACCAUGGAAGGUCAGGGUGAGUGGGAGGGAAAACAGGUCAGACCACGAACAGAGAGAUUGAGGAGAAAGCAGUAACAUUGUGGUUCCACUAAACUACAGUGCAGGCUUCAGAUUUAAUUGGGUUCUGGAUGUGGGCUAAUGUUAGAGCUGGGGUUAAGUUUGGGGUUAGUUGAAUUAUGAAUGAGGUUGAGGUCAGAUUUGAGGUUGGGAUUAGAGUUAAGGUUGGGAUUAGGGUUAGAAAUACAGCUAGAAUUGAGGCUCAGGUUUAUGGCUGGGAUUUGUGUUACGAUAAGGAAUAGAGUUUUAGUUUCAUUUACAGCUCUGCCUGGGAAUACAGUUAGGGCUAAAUCAAAGGCUGGGUUUAGAUUGAUUUAGCAUUGGGUUAGAACUAAGUUUGAGAUUCACAUUGAAAUAGGCUGUGGUUAGGGUUGGAACAUGGUUUAAAGACACGUAAGCAGCGGGAGUUGAUGGGGAUCAAAGAUGAGGUUUUAUUUCUAAUAUAGAAAGACUUCAGCCUCCAUCUGCUAAAUCCAGGUUUGGCUAGAAUUUUCAAUCCUUAGUGCGGGGAGACUACUAAUGGCACAUGUUGAUUGGGGUCCCAAGACUUGGAGGAGGAAGCCAAAUGUACACGAGCCCAUCUAAGGGGUAUGAGGCAACUAAAUCCCAUAGAGAAUGGACCCUCUGAAGUCCUGCUCCACUACUAAAGCUCACCACCUGGCCAAGCUCCAGAAAAACAUCUGGGGAGGAGACGCAGGAAGCUACUGACAAUGAGUUGGGCUCUGACACCAAACCGAACUAGAAGAUGGGGUCCAUCAGAGGGAGUCUUACUGAGUGGGGAGGAGGGGUGGUCUGGAUUUGGAGUCCUUAGGAGAUGGGAGUUGGGAGAAACUGAGGGCCUACAUGCUCCUAGAACAGCCACUUUAUGGGGCACCACAUGGGGGUCUUUCAAAGCCUGAAAGGGCAGAGUGCCAUUGUUGUUUCCCCUUGACCCUCUGAGGCUUAAUUGCUACCUUCUUGCAAUUUGAGUCCUAUAAAAGAAGCUGUCAGCCUUCCAGCCCUAAACCCUGAGCCCUGCAGGGUUUUCAGGGAGGGCAGCAGUGGGGAGGCUGUGGAUGGGGUGAAGGCACUGGGGUGUCAGCAUAGUUUCCAAAGCAUAUGUCACAGUCCUACAGUCCCCUCCCUCUGGGCCCAGCUCACAGUCCGUGUAAGUCUCUGGGCCUUAUCCUCAGCAGUGGAAGAGGGCCCCACUCCUAGGAAGACCCCGUCCCAAUUCCUCCCUCUCAUUUUUCCCCAACCAGUCUCCAGCCCAAACAUCUCAUUUCCCCACCCACUUCCUUUUCAGGUUUUAUAAAGGUCUGGUCCAGGAGACUACUGGGGUUCCCCCUGUGACCCCAGAGAGAGAGAAGAAAGAGAUUGGGAGAGAUAGUGAUGAGUUAAGGGGCAAAGACAGAGACAGGGACAGAGGCAGACAGAAAGACACAUGGUCUAAAUGGCCCCUCCAGAGACUCAGAGGGAUACAGAGGAGGCAGAGGGCCCAGGCCACGAGCUGGGAACCAAUACAAAUUUCCAAAAGGGCCCCUUGCUUUUUCCUAAGAAAUCCAUGACUCUCCAGGGAAGAAUGGCCCUGCUUUGACUGGUAUUUGCUUCUAUUCUAAGACAGUAACAGAAAAUCAAAGACUGGCUUAGAAAGGAGUAAACAGGGAGAUACAGGAGGUAGGAAGAGGCUGGACAAAAACUCAGAGAAGGCCACAGAUUGCUUACCAGAUGAAGUGCAGCCCAGCCCCAGAACCUUUCUGGGAAGGACGGACAGAGGGCUUGGGCUGCCUACUCUUCCUCCAAAGCCUAUUCUUCCUCCAAAGUCCCUUUCAUGGCAACUCCACCCCACUCCUCUAAGCCCUGCCCUCCCCUGCCUGUACUUGCCCACCCCAACCCCUCUCAGUGGCCGCCAGACUCCCUGGGCUCAGGCUCAAUCAAGCUCCCCACAACCCCUGCCUUGGCUGGCACUGCAAUUUGACUCAUUCUAAACUCCUCCCCACACAGUCAGCAAGCUCCUCAGCCCCCUCUCCCAAGUCCCCAUGUAGCCCAGGGCUCACCCUGCAGCACCCAGGGAGGAGCUGUCCUGCAGAGGAAACCUCUGAGGUAAGACUCUGGGAGCAGAAGCUGUGAGUGACAAUGGAUAGGCAAAGAGUCACAGAGAAGCCAAGGAGCCUUGCAGCUGCUGUCUGUCCACCCAGCUUUCAGUGAUGAUUUGGAGGUGGAGGUCUGCCAGGUGAGGCCAUGGUUGCAUGAGAAGGGCAGGGGGCUCAGAGGUUGCAUGGGUGGUGAUGGGACAACGUCGGAUUCUGGUUACAGAGAGGGAUGAGAUCGACAUGUGGGGCUAAGUUUGAGGGUGUGGGUUGGGUUCGAAACUAAGGCUCAAAUCAAAGCUGGCAGGGAAGAGCCGUGAACACAGGUGACACAGGGACUCCCCAAGCUCCUGCUUAGGUUUCCCAAACCUCAGUGGUUCUGACUGGUACACUUCAGAAGAAGUGGGAUUCUAGGAGGAGCCUGGAUAUGCCCACAUCUCUCCCAUCAAGCAAUGUCCUGAAGCUGACAGACUCAGAAGAGCAAGCAGCACACACAUAGUCCCCAUCAAUUAAAGGAGUGGCUGGAGUUGUCACUACAUCAACAAAGCACAAGAGCAAAGGGAGGCGAUUGAAUGCCACCAACUGAAUUGUUAGCAAGAGAAUGAGUGGAGGCGAGAAGAAAUCGCUUGUAAAGGCUAUGUGAUUCCCUGAUGACAGAUCUGAGGAAGAAUGAAGAGGCUUUGAAGAUAAAGGACACCCCAUCUGACACGGAAAUAGCUCCUGGCCCGCAAUGUGGUAAGAUGCAGUAAUACGUGCAAGGCCCCUGACUUAGUGGCAAUGAUGUUUAAGCCGAGAUCUGAAGGAUAACUAACAACGGCGUGCCAGAGAAAAGAGUAGCGGGUGGAGAGAGGAGGCCAGGGGAAUAUUUCUGGGCUUGGUAAGUAAGCCAGGUCCCUGCCAGACAUGGACUGAGAAGAGCAAAGCCAGGAGUGACAGCUGACGAUUAUUUUUUAACUGAGGAAGGAAGAUCCUUGAGAACGGAACCUCUUGGGACCUUCUACCCAGAACACCAGAGCACCUCACUGGGAUCAGAGCCAGGCCAUCGGGUGGAUUAAGCAACUAAAAUUGAUUGUCCUGAACCAUGAGUCUGUCUGUUUAUGGGGAGAGAAACUUUGAGAUGAAUUAAUCCACAGGUCCAAUGGGACUUUGACAUUUUAAUUUGUAGAAAUAAAACUUGCCUUUGAUUUUGCCAUCUGGAUUCCCCAAACACGUAUCUACAGAGUGGAACUGUGGUGCCCCUUGACCUGCAGGGUGGCCCCAGGCCUGCCUUGCCCCGCUGGCAGUUGCCCAGGAAGGUGUGUAGGAGCUGGCAGGCGUCAGUACGAAGCUGCAGCUGGUGUGUGUCUCGUUCAGAGCCUUUCUCACUAAGCCCGUCCUGACCAAUCCUUGCUCUGCCCUCUGUAUUUGUUUCCUGUUGCCUGCACACUGGGAUAGAAGGAGUCAAGGGGAAGGUGGUGCCACAGGGGCGGGGCUCAGAGGCAACAGAGCGCUGCUAGGGCUGCAGCGAUCCUCCUGCCUUUGAAUGGAUUUCUGCCGCUCCACUUCCAUCAUCUGAUCCAACCGCUUCUCUUCUGUGUCCAGUUCUUUUUGGAUCUGCUGCUUCUCCAGGAUUUGGGCAUCCCGGAUGGCAUGGCACUUAGCAUUGAGGAUAAUCUGGAGAGUGGAGAUUAAACUGUAGCACUAGGCC